AUUGAACGCUGGCGGCAGGCUUAACACAUGCAAGUCGAGCGGGGUGAUGGUGCUUGCACUAUCACUUAGCGGCGGACGGGUGAGUAAUGCUUAGGAAUCUGCCUAUUAGUGGGGGACAACAUCUCGAAAGGGAUGCUGAUACCGCAUACGUCCUACGGGAGAAAGCAGGGGAUCACUUGUGACCUUGCGCUAAUAGAUGAGCCUAAGUCGGAUUAGCUAGUUGGUGGGGUAAAGGCCUACCAAGGCGACGAUCUGUAGCGGGUAUGAGGGGAUGAUCCGCCACAGUGGGACUGAGACACGGCCCAGACUCCUACGGGAGGCAGCAGUGGGGAAUAUUGGACAAUGGGGGGAACCCUGAUCCAGCCAUGCCGCGUGUGUGAAGAAGGCCUUAUGGUUGUAAAGCACUUUAAGCGAGGAGGAGGCUCUUUUGGUUAAUACCCAAGAUGAGUGGACGUUACUCGCAGAAUAAGCACCGGCUAACUCUGUGCCAGCAGCCGCAGUAA
rnacentral:rRNA from 1 species